rnacentral:rRNA from 1 species
GAUGAACGCUGCCAGAAUGCUUAACACAUGCAAGUCUACUUGAAUUUGGGUUUUUUAACUUAGAUUUGGGUGGCGGACGGGUUAUUAACGCGUAAAGAACUUGCCUCACAGCUAGGGACAACAUUUGGAAACGAAUGCUAAUACCUGAUAUUAUGAUUAUAAGGCAUCUUAGAAUUAUGAAAGCUAUAUGCGCUGUGAGAGAGCUUUGCGUCCCAUUAGCUAGUUGGAGAGGUAACGGCUCACCAAGGCGAUGAUGGGUAGCCGGCCUGAGAGGGUGAACGGCCACAAGGGGACUGAGACACGGCCCUUACUCCUACGGGAGGCAGCAGUGGGGAAUAUUGGACAAUGGACCAAGAGUCUGAUCCAGCAAUUCUGUGUGCACGAUGACGUUUUUCGGAAUGUAAAGUGCUUUCAGUUGGGAAGAAAAAAAUGACGGUACCAACAGAAGAAGUGACGGCUAAAUACGUG